CUCAGGAGGUGGAGGUUGCAGUGAGCCGAGGUCACGCCACUGCACUCUAGCCUGGGCA
rnacentral:precursor_RNA from 1 species